AGAUCACAUCGCAGGUCAUUACAUUUGAUACCAAAAGGGGUUGAAUCCUAUGAUCAUCACCGUAUGCUACAAUUAUAAUUUUCAGAUCUGAAACUUAACUGAUUAUAUCAUGACAUAGGUCGCUGAUCAUGCUAAUCAUGAUUCUAAACUUUGUAAUCCCAUUAACAAUGCAAUUAGAAUCAUCUUUUUAUCACAUAAAAAUCAGCAUGUAAAAAUUCAGCACCCCUAAAAAAAUCUGCAUGCAGAAUUUUUCAGCAUGCAUGAUCAAUCAAUUUUCAGAUCUAAUAAGCCUUUAAAUAUUUAAUUCUUACCUUAAUCUACGAAGCCUAGGCUCUGAUACCACUGUUGGGAACCAGCCCAUGCCGCUGAUAUUUCAAAAAUUUUUCAGAUGGCAGCGGAAUCGGCAUGCACGAGUUCGACGUUCAUCUCAUGAACGUUGUUUCGAGUACCUUUCGUAAUUAGGUAAGAAUUAAAUCCUUUUAAAACUAAUAGGAAGAUCAAAUCUUCACCUUGCGCGGGUAGAUGAUCACCGCGAAUCUGAAUUCGUGGUUUUAGGAAG
rnacentral:lncRNA from 1 species